rnacentral:lncRNA from 1 species
UUCUAUAAAAUUUUAUAAAAGAAAAAUUCCGCCUUCCACCAUAAGUUGCUUUGGAAAUGAUGCUAUUGUGCAUGGGGACCGGGCUCCCCAUACUCAGUAUAUCUGUUGGACUCUCCCUCCUCAUGGCUUGGAUUGUUCUCAACUCGGAUGAAUUUUCCAAAGGCAAUUCGGAAACCGCUGGUUGUGGAGGAUCUCCGAGAUGAUUGAUACAGCUGGCUUUGUGGGUUUCUAUGUUGCAUAUUGGGAUCUGUAGUGCGGUGGAGGCUGGGAUUUACAGGAUUUUUCAAGGACUGUUGCUUGCGUGGUUCAAAGGCUAUUGUAGAUUGAAGUUCAAUCUGAUUCUUAGGCAGCUAUUUCCAUCAUUCGAUCUUCCUGGAGUUCUUUAAUGCGUUACAGAAAUUUGAUUGUUGGCUUAAAAAGAUUGUUAUCGAGAAAUUAGCAAGUUUCGUUUAACGUAUCAGUAGUUGUUAUGAAAAUUUAUAUAUUUUAUUAAAGUUAACACCAAACGGAAAAGAUCUAGUAUUAUAUAUUUUUUAUUUUAGGUUUAGUAUUCAAAAGAAUAAGGUUUCUUUUUUUUAUUAUUAAAAAAUCAGCAAAUUUUAUUAGCUGCUAACAGUAAAG